rnacentral:rRNA from 1 species
UACGUAGGGGGCGAGCGUUGUCCGGAGUUACUGGGCGUAAAGGGCAUGCAGGCGGUCAGGCGCGUUUUGUGUGACAGCGGAUGGCUUAACUGUCCGAGGAUACGAGAUACGGCGUGACUUGAGAGCGCGAGAGGGACACGGAAUUCCGGGUGGAGUGGUGAAAUGCGUAGAGAUCCGGAGGAACACCGAAGGCGAAGGCAGUGUCCUGGCGCGUAUCUGACGCUGAGGUGCGAAAGCCAGGGGAGCGAACGGGG